GGUGAGGCGGCGACGCAAGCGGUGAGGUUCACGAGCGGCAGUUGUGGUGACGGGUCGGCGAGGGUCGCAAGACGUGGAGCCCCACUGCGCUGUGACGAGACGCCAUGGAGGGCUCCUAUACUCAGAAGGGGUCCCUGCACGGGCAAGCGCACACAACGCCACCUGUUGUCAAUGAGCAGCCUGCCAGCUUAGCAAAAAUGUCGACAGAUGGAUCAGCAGGGCCCGGAACUGCGUUAGCGAACGAGGAUGAGGAUUCGUGCUGCGCGUGGUGUUGCUCUGGCGGCGGCGGUAGAAGCAAGCACACAUAUCACUACACCAGCAGUGGCGCAUCCGACACUCAUCUAGGGGGUGAUUAUGGUGACAGUGGUGGUGGAGGAUGGUUCAGUGGAGGCGGCGGGUGCGACAGCGGAGGUGGUGGUGGAGAUGGUGGAGGCGGCGGGUGCGACAGUGGAGGUGGUGGUGGAGAUGGUGGAGGCGGCGGUGGGUGCGAUUGAUCAGGCCAUACCAGGCUGUUCCGGUCGCCAAGGCCAGCCCGGCAGUCCGAUCAGGAGAAGCAGCCUUCACCGCCGAGACCGCACGGCCCGAGGCUGACGUCACCUGGCCAGCUGGGCUCAGCCCCGAUGGUCAGACCGCCCGGUCGGCGCGGCACCGCACCGUCAAGUCGGGAACACCAGCUGGCAGCUGGAGCCGUUCUAUAUUCCCCUGCUAGCCUGAGCAGUGCGAAUCAGACUGACACACCAGGCCAAAACUUUACCUGGAGAGAUGUUCCUGUCACUGUGACUGUCUUCUUUGUCGUGUAAGUUUUAGCCCUUUGGCACUCGGGUAAAAAAGAAGCUUGUUUGCUGCAGCCACCAGCAAUGUGACAUAUGAGGUGAAGUGAAAGUGAAGGAUCCAGUGUAAGUGUCUGUGCUAAUUAGGCAUUGCAUGAUGAGCUGGAUAGGUUCUGCAGCCGCACAGUAGUUUUAAUAUAUGUGUCAUUCACAC
rnacentral:lncRNA from 1 species